rnacentral:rRNA from 1 species
CCCUUAGAUGUUCUGGGCCGCACGCGCGCUACACUGAUGCAUUCAACGAGCACCCGCUGGGCCGAGAGGUCCGGCUAAUCUUUGAACGUGCAUCGUGCUGGGGAUAGAUGAUUGCAAUUAUUCAUCUUCAACGAGGAAUUCCUAGUAAACGCAAGUCAUCAGCUUGCAUUGAUUACGUCCCUGCCCUUUGUACACACCGCCCGUCGCACCUACCGAUUGAAUGGUCCGGUGAAAUCUCGGGACGGCGGCUUGGUCGCUUGCGUCCGACUGCUGAAACUUGAUUAAACCAUAUCAUUUAGAGGAAGGUGAAGUCGUANCA